UUAAUCAUUUUUUAUAUAUAGAUAUCAUGGAAAUAUAAUGAAGACUUUAAGGAAAAAAGGUUAUCUUCAAUUAAUCCCUUGAAAGUGCUUCUGACUUUUAUUUGAUACACAUUAAUCACUCACCAAGUAUCUGUUGAGUGGCUAAAUGCCCGCAUUGAGAAGAUAUUUUUUCUUCCUUAUAAAUGACACUGAUGAAUUUGUAAAACUAUAUGCUCGUAUACAUGAUAUGAAGUUUUUUAAAAAACUUGUAAAACUAUAUACUAAAAAGGGUGAAUUUUACUGUCUAUAAAUUAUACCUGAAAAAUAAUCCUAAAUGAAUAUAUUACAUACUGUUUGAGGUGAACAGAGGCAAGGUUAAGAAUAUCAACUAGAAUUAGAAAUAAAACAAUUCAAUUUAUACAUCUGAAAAGACUCUUUGGUCAUGGGUUUCACAUAUAGCCUAGAGCAUCAGGGGACUGGGAAAUGGAAACGGGGACAGUAAUUUUGCCUUUGAAGUGAAACUCUUGGAUGGUUAAUUUAUAAGGGAUAAAUAUUUUCCAGCUCAAUAUUAGAGUGCGGACGCUUUUGGAAAUUCAUAUAAAGAAAGGUAUUACCAAAACAGUACUACUUAUAACAAGAAAAUGAAACAAAAACUGUUAUAUUUAAGAAACAUAGUACAGGAAUUGGCUUUAGAUUUGCUGAAUAACUUUCUUCUGUAAUCCUGUUUUUCAGUGCUAUAUGUUUUAUAUGGUUGAGUGGUGUUUAGGUGGAUGCUUUUGAGUCACAACUUAAAUGUUUCAAGUAUUCCAGUUCCGCCCCAGGAAUUUUCUGUGAGCUUCAGUGGAAAAUAAUUUUGAGGCAGUUUGGGGAAGUUUAAAUUAAAUUAAAUCACAUGCUGAGGAAAACGAGAUAAACUAAUAUCCAUGAGUCCAAUCUAAGCCAAUGUAUGAUCCUAUCUUAAACACUUAGGAAGCCCUGAAGUCUUAAGACCAAUCAGCCUUGUUUAAUAAGGAUGGAAGCCUGUUUUCAUCACAUCUCUUACGGAACUUUCCCGACUGAAGAUUGCUAUGGUAGUGGCACAUGGCCCUGUGAAGGCACAAGAUUGAUAAUUUUCCGCUGAACGGAAGGCUGGAGAUGUGUGUCAUCCCUCCAGCCAUCUUGCUACAAUCCUGUGCAGGACAGGCAUUCAAACCCAGGACCCCAAGCAUGUGAGGCGAGUGCUCUGCCACUGGGUUUAAUCCCCAGCCUGGGAUUUCACUUUCACAAAUUUGCAUCCCUUCUGCUUUCCAAAACCGAGGUUCACAGGACUGUGUCUGACCCACAGCCUUUUCCACCCAGCGCUUUUCAGUGACUAUUUCCAUCAUAUGUUUCAGUGUGCUAGCAAAUUGAUCAUAGUUGCAAAUAUUUUUGCUUUGACAGUAAUUGCAUACUUCAGUUUGUGAAGGGACUUGACUAGCAAUUCAACUGUUGGUAGGUCCAGAUCGUAAGUCUCCCAGCAGAUGCACCUAUUACUUUACAUACU